GUAGGUGGCAAGCGUUGGUACCGGAAAUUUAGUUGGGACGUAAAGCGCGCGCAGGCGGUACCUUUAAGUCUGAUGUAGAAACGCCCACGGGCUCAACCGUGGAGGGUCAGUUAGGAAACGUGGGGACUUGAGUACAGAAGAGGAAGCGGAAUUCCAAGUGUAGCGGUGAAAUGCAUAGAGAUUUGGAGGAACACCAGUGGCGAAGGCGGCUUUCUGGUCUGUAACUGACGCUGAGGCGCGAAAGCGUGGGGAGCAAACAGGAUUAGAUACCCUGGUAGUCCACGCCGUAAACGAUGAGUGCUAAGUGUUAGGGGGUUUCCGCCCCUUAGUGCUGCAGCUAACGCAUUAAGCACUCCGCCUGGGGAGUACGGCCGCAAAGGCUG
rnacentral:rRNA from 1 species